rnacentral:tRNA from 1 species
GGCCGGUUAGUUCAGUGGGUUAGAGCGUGGUACUAAUAACGCCAGGAUUGAGGGUUCGAUCCCCGUACGGACUA